rnacentral:rRNA from 1 species
AUUUUGGGCAAUGGGCGAAAGCCUGACCCAGCAACGCCGCGUGAGGGAUGAAGUAUUUCGGUAUGUAAACCUCGAAAGAAUGGGAAGAAUAAAUGACGGUACCAUUUAUAAGCUCCGGCUAACUACGUGCCAGCAGCCGCGGUAAUACGUAGGGAGCAAGCGUUGUUCGGAUUUACUGGGCGUAAAGGGCGCGUAGGCGGCGCGGUAAGUCACUUGUGAAAUCUCUGAGCUUAACUCAGAACGGCCAAGUGAUACUGAUGUGCUAGAGUGCGGAAGAGGCAACCGGAAUUCUUGGUGUAGCGGUGAAAUGCGUAGAUAUCAAGAGGAACACCUGAGGCGAAGGCGGGUUGCUGGGCCGACACUGACGCUGAUGCGCGAAAGCCAGGGGAGCAAACG